AUUGAACGCUGGCGGAAUGCUUUACACAUGCAAGUCGAACGGUAGAGGGGGCAACCCCUCGAGAGUGGCGAACGGGUGAGUAAUAUAUCGGAACGUGCCCAGUCGUGGGGGAUAACGUAGCGAAAGUUACGCUAUUACCGCAUACGAUCUAAGGAUGAAAGCGGGGGAUCGCAAGACCUCGCGCGAUUGGAGCGGCCGAGAUCAGAUUAGGUAGUUGGUGGGGUAAAGGCUCACCAAGCCAACGAUCUGUAGCUGGUCUGAGAGGACGACCAGCCACACUGGAACUGAGACACGGUCCAGACUCCUACGGGAGGCAGCAGUGGGGAAUUUUGGACAAUGGACGCAAGUCUGAUCCAGCCAUUCCGCGUGCAGGAUGAAGGCCCUCGGGUUGUAAACUGCUUUUGUACGGAACGAAAAGGUCUCUCUUAAUACGGGGGACUCAUGACGGUACCGUAAGAAUAAGCACCGGCUAACUACGUGCCAGCCGCCGCCGUAA
rnacentral:rRNA from 1 species